rnacentral:lncRNA from 1 species
AUGAAACUGCUAGGUCUUCUUAUGACACUGUUUGCUCUUAGCUAUGCAAACUUGGACAAACAAGUUGUGUGUACAACCUUACGUGAACUUCUGAACAGGCUUGAAAAUCUUGAGAAGCAUGAGUUCAAGGCUUUCAGCAAAUCAGUACAAAUCCAAACACCGAAUGCAGAAAUACAGAAUGCAGAGGCCGUGUGUACAACAUUAAGUCUGAUGGAUGGAAACAGACAGUCCCGCAGCUGCUGGCAGCGUCCUGACGAGAUGGAACAUCCCUAACAACACAGCAAGACCGUUAUCCCAGAAAUUGGACUUCCUCUAUAUAAAGACUUCAAGAUCAAUCAAUUCAUGGGUCUUCCUGUGAAUAACCUGCACUUUUAUGUCCCAUUAGUUAUUUUUUGUUAAAGGUAGAGGCAGAUAUCCUUUUCUAACUUAAAGGUGAGAACUAUUAGAACUCUUAUCUAAACAAUAUCAAUGUAGCAUUUAAAGCAGCUAUUUUUAAACAUCAAAUGUCUGAAUCCCCCUUAAAAUAUCAGGGGUUUUUUUACCGACACCUUAUCUAGACUUUGUCCACUACCAAAAAAGGGAGCCAUCAGCUGCAUUGCAAUUACUUUAUUUAUAAACCCCAUCUGGUUAGAACUGGACUAGUCAGAGACACAGACAAGACGCGAUCCAGUCACACAAUACACUACAUAACCCACAUUUUGUGCGUGUUAAUGCAUCACUGAAAUGCAUUCUAUGGAAAAUCCAUGCAUAACACAAUUUAGCCGGUUACUUCCCUGUUUUGUUUUUCAUUGUGGUUGUGAUUUCAGGUUAUCAUCUCAGAAAAAUAUAUUUUUGACACAGACAAAAUGUUCCAUAUAAAAGUACCAAAACAUUUGAUAAGAUGCUAUCUUGACAGUCAUGUGAGUAUUUUGAGGAGGAGUGUGGGAAAGAGAUGGGUUUUGCUGGUUUCCUGCACCAAAAAAAAAAGUGUUUUCUACCAAUACUUUCUGAUUUUUUGCUUCAGACAAACUGUCAGACAGUGCCAGACGGUGAUGACUGAAAUAAUUCAUACAAGUCAGAUAAUGAUUUUGAAACUGCAAGAGCAGCUGGAGGUUGUGUAAAAGCUCUCAACUCAGCCCUCAGUGACUCCAGACAGGUCGUCUGCUUUAACGCUAUGAUUUAUGGGAUGAUGGUGGCCGAAUCUAAACUCACAGUUCACCGUGCUUUUGAUGAUUCUUCAGGUGUCCACUUUCAUCAAUCCAACCUGAGAAACCAGUAGCCAUGUCUGCAUUGAUCCGAAUCUGAUCCUGACCUUAAUCAGGAAAGAGCCGCAGAGGGAAAUGAUAAACCUUAUAUGGUCAGUUUAUACAAUGAGGCUUUACCAAUCACAUUGAUUAACGAUUUACAUAUGAAUUUCGAUUUUCUAUUAGUAAACCUAAUUAGUAAUAUUUCCUCUAAAACAUGUUGUUGUUGUUUUCUUUUCGAGUCUAAUAAUCAGUAUUCGGAAGCAGAAACUUUGGUUCUUAGGAAACAGAUCCUUUCCAGGUUUCAGUGACUGAUACGAUUAUAGUAAUAUAAUAAUUAAAUGCAAGCAUUUAAUGAUGCCUACCAAUAAAUAUGAUGUGCACAAGGAUCAAUAUUUAAAAUAGUGCAUGCGUGCUUAUAAAAAAAUUAAAAGCUUUCAAAAUGCAUUGGCUGUUAUGAGAAUGUGGCAUCAAAAAAAAUUAAUUGUCACACUAAAAAGGAAAAAGUAACUUUUAAGGAAAAGGACAUUUAUUGGCAAAGAGAAUGCAUGAUUUUUUCUGGCAACCAAUGCUUGCUUUGAGUCUUUCAAAGCACUGCAAGAUGAGCCAAGUUGUCGCAUAAAAAUACACAAAAAAAGUUAAUUUUAUAGCCCAUUAUAUAUCUAAUGCAUGUCUUCUCUUUUUAAAAGAGACCUGUUCUCAGGUUGAAUACAAGAGUUAAUUAAGCAGCAUUCAUCUUGAUGACUUCAUGACAGCUGCUAGGUCAGUCUAAUAUCUACUCAUAAUAUAAAGCUUUGCUCGUCAAACCCACCAACAUUGUCUUCAUCAUCACAAAAUUUUCUCUCACACAUUUCAACUAAAUUGCAUGUUUGAUCAAAUUUCAAGAACCACUUUGAGAUUUACAGUGAAAAAAGUAAAAUAUAUUACAUAGGACUUUUUAUCCUACUCUUCAUACCCCCCUCAUGCCAAUGUGUUUAUACUCAACUAAUUAGAUGAUCUACCAUAGUAAUAAUUUGAUCAGCAUUUUAUCUGAUAAGCACAUUAGUUCAACAUAUUACAUGCAUCAUAUAUAUAUAUAUAUAUAUAUAUAUAUGAAAUAUGCUGUGUUGCAUGGCUUUUAAUAUUGCGAAAAUAAUUUUGCAAACAGAAUUAUUACAUUUUGUAACUUAAUAUGCAGAAAUUAGCAUUUUAAUAACGAAACUGUGUUUCUAAGACGGACUCCUAACAACAAGUGACACUGCAUAUCAAAAAUAAAAGCGCAAUAGAAAUGCAAAAGCAUGAAGAAACUCAUUUUGUCACUAGGCUAUAGGACUCCCCAUUAGGUGGCCUCGUUGACUUGAUUUAGGUUGUAACAUCUGACAAUCCAAAUAUGUGAGUUUUACGACGCAUUUCCUUAUUUCAGGUAUCAGCAUCAGCAGUGAAAAUCUGCAGCUCUCAAGUGAAUUAAUGGGUUAGAAAUUCAUUCAUACAGUAGCCUACUGAAGAGAAAAAAGUAUAAGAGCAAUAAUAAAAAUGCAGUCAUGUAAUUCAUAUCCUGAGCAUAAACUAAAAUGAACGCAUCAUGAAUCGUUCAAGUUCAAUCGUAAUAGAAUCGCAACAUUAGAGCGCAUUGGAGCAUCAGAGCUCCUCUGUGACUCACAGAGUUUUUUUUUUUUAAUUCAGCACCGACUCUAAAACCGGCGACCUACUGUUAGAGUAAAUUCUCAAGCCCCUCGGGCUCGGACACGGCACAUCUCGGUGUGAAGCGCGUUGGUCAUGUCACUCGGCAUCGGGUCUCACCGAUCGCGCAAACGACGCGCAUUGCUCAACCUCAAAAAGAACACCUUCAUUUCUGCAGCAUGAAGAUGCGCUGGAGUCAUUCAUCGAGGACGGACACGAAGCAAGUUUUCUUUCCUGUUUAUUCAAAUGAAUCGUUUUAAGGACAGGGCGGUUCAAAGAGCAAACAGUGCAACGUUUAUUCGGAUAAAUGCGAAACGAAGCGCUUCAGUAUCAUCUAACAGGUCAGUUUAAUAUUAGUUUUGUCCCUUUGUUGACACACAGAAAUGCAGGAACAGGUUAUUGCUCACUGGAAUCUGAGCAAAACGUGUCUUUUAUGAUGUAAGGACUCCUGCACGAUCACCACUAGAUAUAUAAGAGAACUCCGGAUGGGUGAGUCAAAACGUGUGCAAAGUAAUCAAUUAAAACUUUGUUUUGAUGGAUGGAGGAUCACUGAUGCUACUACAAGAUGAUUAUGUUUCUCUGAUUGGCAUGCCAUUAUAACUGGACGCUGGAAUGCAGGAAAGUGUUUUUAGCAGGAACAGGUAUUGCUCACUGGAAUCUGAGCAAAACGUGUACUUUUAUUGAUGUAAGGACUCCUGCACGAUCACCACUAGAUAUAUAAGAGAACUCCGGAUGGGUGAGUCAAAACGUGUGCAAAGUAAUCAAUUAAACUUUGUUUUGAUGGAUGGAGGAUCACUGAUGCUACUACAAGAUGAUUAUGUUUCUCUGAUUGGCAUGCCAUUAUAACUGGACGCUGGAAUGCAGGAAAGUGUUUUGUGCAAUGGAGUAUGAACUGGAAAUAUGAAUGUCCCACAGUCAGCGUUACCUGAGGUGUGACAGGUCUGACGGACUCUACGAGUGUUUGAAUACUUUUUA